UUUCCUUAUAUGAACUGUGACUCAGUAAAAUCUUUGAAAUUGUUGCAUGUUGCAUUUAUAUUCUGGUUCAGUGUAGUAUUUGAACCCAGGUCUGAUCCACACUCCUCUGUGACAUCAUGUAUAUGCUGUGACAGCAAACGUGCUCUGAAAUACUCUUCAUGUCUCUGAAACAAUAAAACCUUCAUGAGUAA